rnacentral:rRNA from 1 species
UGACGAGCGGCGAACGGGUGAGUAAUGCUUCGGAAUCUACCUUAUGGUGGGGAAUAACUAGCCGAAAGGUUAGCUAAUACCGCAUACGUCCUACGGGAGAAAGCAGGGGAUCGCAAGACCUUGCGCCAAAAGAUGAGCCGAAGUCGGAUUAGCUAGUUGGUAGGGUAACGGCCUACCAAGGCGACGAUCCGUAGCUGGUCUGAGAGGACGACCAGCCACACUGGGACUGAGACACGGCCCAG